AUAAGUUAAGCUGAUUGUCCCGGCACAUGUACAUACGUGUGUUUUCAUUCCUUCAACAUCACUCCUCGUCUGUAGACAUGGCAAGCCAGAUCUCUGCGUUCGUGCGAAGAGUUACCAGCUCAGAAGUAUCGAGUCCCAACCCAUGUGCAAUGGUUUUAGCUUUGGCCACUCUCAUUGGAGUAGUAAUGCUUAUUACCGGAUCCUUGUUGUGAGGCAAAGGACGGAAAUGUUUACGCUUCAUGACCGCUAUCCACCCAAUCCCUGAUACUCGCUUACGAUAAAAUGUUACGAGAAUGAGUAUGGUUGAGAAAACCACGACGUCUUCUGUAGACAACGCCCUUCUCGCCCAAAAUAAUCAGUGCAUAUCGAAGGAGCGAUGAAUACGACUUUACGGAUCCGGUCCACCCCCAGGGGACUACUGAAGAAAUGGCCCACCUACAAAUCAGCGUACACCCGGGGUCAUCUCGCGCUUGGCUGGACAACACAAAGACAAAAGGACAAAUCCUCUAUGUGCUUUAAUUGCAUGGAAUCUAUCGUCACUGACGUCAUACAUUUUAAUUGUCGUUAUAAUGCGAGUUUAGUAGUCCAUCCAUUUCCACACAUAGGUCUCCUUUUCAAGUCUGGAAGUGGAAUAUAGGUCGUUCAUCAUGUUCUUAUUCUGUUGUUUGGAUACUUUUUUGCUAUUUUGUACCCCCCCCCCCUUAUCACCAUAUAGCACUACAAACUACAAACGUCAUACGUCAGAAAGUAAUUCAUUCAUCGUUCAACGCUAGAUUAUGCCCACUCUGAGAAUAUAAACAUGACCAUUGGAAGGAAGUACAGUGUUGUAUUGAUGUUUGAAAUGCUUACCAAGCCGCUAACUGUCACGGAGAAAUGUUUUAUUCGAGAUGUAUUGCUGUCUGGACAAUAUUAUCAUUUCCUGUAACCUUACUGUUACCUAGUUGACGAAUGUUAUUAAUCUAUUAAAGUUAGCUUUGAUGCAGACUCUGUCUCGUGGUUUCACGGGUUGUGAAUAAAGUAGUUCACACUCAA